UUAAAGGUUAAUCGAAUUAAAGUAAAUCGAUAUAAGAACUAAAAAUAGAUAUCUAGGUUAAUAUUGAUUUUUACUAUAAACAAUAAACAUUGCUUAACAAAGAUUUAUAAUAAACAUUUUUGUUAUACAGGUAUAUUUAAACCUUACUGUAUUAAAGAUGUAGUGUGUAAUAUGGUUUAUAUGGAAAUGUGCCACUUGCACGAUAUGUGAGGUAAGCUAAGUGUAUUUGUAUUCUUGUUUCGCUUAGCUUUAGUUUUUUUAUAUUUGCUUUGCUUUUAUUGUUACUUUUGUGAUUAGUUGCUUUUUGAUUUAACAAGCAUGCAGCUUACAUUUUGUGUAGUUUAGAUUACCAACACAAGUAUUAUUUAAUAGACUUUGG
rnacentral:lncRNA from 1 species